CCUACGGGAGGCAGCAGUGAGGAAUAUUGGUCAAUGGGCGCGAGCCUGAACCAGCCAAGUAGCGUGAAGGAUGACUGCCCUACGGGUUGUAACCUUUUUUUAUCAAGGAAUAAAAUGAGGCCCGUGUGACUUUUUGUAUGUACUUUCUGAAUAAGGAUCGGCUAACUCCGUGCCAGCAGCCGCGGUAAUCCGGAGGCUACAGCGUUCUCCGGAUUUAUUGGGUUUAAAGGGAGCGUAGAUGUGUUGUGAAGUCAGUUGUGAAAGUUUGCGGCUCAACCGGAAAAUUGCAAUUGAUACUGGCAGUCUUGAGUACAGUUGAGGUAGGCGGAAUUCGUGGUGUAGCGGUGAAAUGCAUAGAUAUCACGAAGAACUCCGAUUGCGAAGGCAGCUUACUAAACUGCCACUGACAUUGAUGCUCGAAAGUGUGGGUAUCAAACAGGAUUAGAUACCCUGGUAGUC
rnacentral:rRNA from 1 species